GACGAACGCUGGCGGCGUGCUUAACACAUGCAAGUCGAACGGAAAGGCCCUGCUUUUGUGGGGUGCUCGAGUGGCGAACGGGUGAGUAACACGUGAGUAACCUGCCCUUGACUUUGGGAUAACUUCAGGAAACUGGGGCUAAUACCGGAUAGGAGCUCCUGCUGCAUGGUGGGGGUUGGAAGGUUUCGGCGGUUGGGGAUGGACUCGCGGCUUAUCAGCUUGUUGGUGGGGUAGUGACUUACCAAGGCUUUGACGGGUAGCCGGCCUGAGAGGGUGACCGGCCACAUUGGGACUGAGAUACGGCCCAGACUCCUACGGGAGGCAGCAGUGGGGAAUAUUGCACAAUGGGCGGAAGCCUGAUGCAGCAACGCCGCGUGCGGGAUGACGGCCUUCGGGUUGUAAACCGCUUUCGCCUGUGACGAAGCGUGAGUGACGGUAAUGGGUAAAGAAGCACCGGCUAACUACGUG
rnacentral:rRNA from 1 species